UCUUUCCCCUCAUGUCUCUGCAAAAUAGAGAUCCUGAUCAACAAACUCCUGUAGUUUGCUUUUAUCUGCUGGUAGAUAACGUCAAGACUUUCUCCUUGAGAUCACAAUGAGCUUCUCUAUUAGUUAGAAUUUUAAGAAACAAUGCUUAGAUUCUUUUGACGUUUCCACCAUUACAAAUGAGAUCACAGAACAUUCCACUCACCAUCUUCAUCUGCAUUUCUGAUUAUUUCCUUACAACAAGGACCUAGAAGUGAACCUUCUGUAUCGUGUAGGAUUUUGGUGCCCGCGGCCCAGCUGCUGGCAGGAGCCUCAUUCCCGCCUACACAGCCGGCGGCGGGCGACUCGUGCUGCGCGCCUUUUCCUUGUCAACUCGAGGAUUGUUUUUUAAAAUGCUGGUCGUCGUCAUUGAUUGUCCAACGUCAUCUUUGUGGUGUGAUCUAUCAUACUUGUGAUGUUUAUUGCCUGUCGGUAUUACUCAGAGAGAAGUUGGAAUAAGAGCAGAGAUGAAAGAUCAACAUUGGGUCAACAUUGGGGAGGCCUUUCACGUGAUUUAUGGUCUUUUCAGCUCAGAUGACCAGUGCGGAUAAGCUGCACACACACCCACAAAAAGGAGAGGGGGUGCUUAGCUGAAGUCUGCAGCUCCCUGGGGACUCGGGGCCAGGAACCUGACCGCUGCCCACCCCGUUUAGCCCCCAGACGACAUCUCGUUCACACGGCCACAGGACUUCAGGCAGCCCGGGACGCCGGGGACCUCCCAGAACGGGGCGGCCGGCUGCAUGGACUGAGUCCGUAGAGAAGGCGGCGGGAUCUCGUCACUAAUUACACGUCUAUAAAAAUAACAAGGAAGACUCGGGGCCAACAUUUGGUGGCAUUUAUGCUAACGUGCUGCUGGACCUCCCAGGAGAAGUCUAAAUGAUCUUGAGUGCCACGUAACCUUUGUUCAAGGAAUCCAGCAGCUUCUUAAUCAUCUUUGUCACUCUUUCCUGCAAGCGCUCCAGGUUUCCUCUGAAACAUCGCUGUCUUGGAAGCCGCCUGGCACAUAGCGCGUUGUCAGGCUCACACCCUGUGGGGUUUGCCGCCGUGAUGUCUUGUCAAAAUGGGCUUUGCUGAAGCUGAGUGCCCAUGUCCAAUGUAAUCCCCAGCACACAGGUGAGACUCGAUGAACUGCUAAGCAGCGCUUAAGCCACGUCCGUCUGCUGUGAGUGCGCGGGCACAAGCCGGACUGUUGGGUGUUUGAGUGAUUCUGCGCCUGAUGCGUCCAGCCCUGGCUCUUCAGUGAGCUCGUCUCCUGCCCAUCAUAGUGGCCUUUUGCUGAGUGCUGAACCCUACGCGUAGUAGAAUCUCCUCAAACGGGUGUUCAGUGGAUUAAUGAAUGGAUGAAAGAAAGA